rnacentral:rRNA from 1 species
GACGAACGCUGGCGGCGUGCCUAAUACAUGCAAGUCGAGCGAAGUUUUUCUGGUGCUUGCACCGGAAAAACUUGGCGGCGAACGGGUGAGUAACACGUAAAGAACCUGCCUCAUAGACUGGGACAACUAUUGGAAACGAUAGCUAAUACCGGAUAAUAGCAUUAACUGCAUGGUUGAUGUUUAAAAGUUGGUUUUGCUAACACUAUGAGAUGGCUUUGCGGUGCAUUAGCUAGUUGGUGGGGUAAAGGCCUACCAAGGCGACGAUGCAUAGCCGACCUGAGAGGGUGAUCGGCCACACUGGGACUGAGACACGGCCCAGACUCCUACGGGAGGCAGCAGUAGGGAAUCUUCCGCAAUGGGCGAAAGCCUGACGGAGCAACGCCGCGUGAGUGAAGAAGGAUUUCGGUUCGUAAAGCUCUGUUGUUAGGGAAGAAUAAUUGAGUAGUAACUAUACACAGUAGAGACGGUACCUAACCAGAAAGCCACGGCUAACUACGUG